rnacentral:rRNA from 1 species
UUUGGUUAAGUUAGAAAUGGCGCACGGUGGAUGCCUUGACACUAGGAGUCGAUGAAGGACGGGACUAACGCCGAUAUGCUUCGGGGAGCUGUAAGUAAGCUUUGAUCCGAAGAUUUCCGAAUGGGGAAACCCACCAUACGUAAUGGUAUGGUAUCCUUAUCUGAAUACAUAGGGUAAGGAAGACAGACCCAGGGAACUGAAACAUCUAAGUACCUGGAGGAAGAGAAAGCAAAUGCGAUUUCCUGAGUAGCGGCGAGCGAAACGGAACAUAGCCCAAACCAAGAGGCUUGCCUCUUGGGGUUGUAGGACAUUCUAUACGGAGUUACAAAGGAACGAGGUAGACGAAGCGACCUGGAAAGGUCCGUCGUAGAGGGUAACAACCCCGUAGUCGAAACUUCGUUCUCUCUUGAAUGUAUCCUGAGUACGGCGGAACACGUGAAAUUCCGUCGGAAUCUGGGAGGACCAUCUCCCAAGGCUAAAUACUCCCUAGUGAUCGAUAGUGAACCAGUACCGUGAGGGAAAGGUGAAAAGCACCCCGGAAGGGGAGUGAAAGAGAUCCUGAAACCGUGUGCCUACAAAUAGUCAGAGCCCGUUAACGGGUGAUGGCGUGCCUUUUGUAGAAUGAACCGGCGAGUUACGAUCCCGUGCGAGGUUAAGCUGAAGAGGCGGAGCCGCAGCGAAAGCGAGUCUGAAUAGGGCGUUUAGUACGUGGUCGUAGACCCGAAACCAGGUGAUCUACCCAUGUCCAGGGUGAAGUUCAGGUAACACUGAAUGGAGGCCCGAACCCACGCACGUUGAAAAGUGCGGGGAUGAGGUGUGGGUAGCGGAGAAAUUCCAAUCGAACCUGGAGAUAGCUGGUUCUCCCCGAAAUAGCUUUAGGGCUAGCCUUAAGUGUAAGAGUCUUGGAGGUAGAGCACUGAUUGGACUAGGGGUCCUCAUCGGAUUACCGAAUUCAGUCAAACUCCGAAUGCCAAUGACUUAUCCUUAGGAGUCAGACUGCGAGUGAUAAGAUCCGUAGUCAAAAGGGAAACAGCCCAGACCGCCAGCUAAGGUCCCAAAGUGUGUAUUAAGUGGAAAAGGAUGUGGAGUUGCUUAGACAACUAGGAUGUUGGCUUAGAAGCAGCCACCAUUUAAAGAGUGCGUAAUAGCUCACUAGUCGAGUGACUCUGCGCCGAAAAUGUACCGGGGCUAAAUACACCACCGAAGCUGCGGAUUGAUACCAAUGGUAUCAGUGGUAGGGGAGCGUUCUAAGGACAGUGAAGUCAGACCGGAAGGACUGGUGGAGUGCUUAGAAGUGAGAAUGCCGGUAUGAGUAGCGAAAGACGGGUGAGAAUCCCGUCCACCGAAUGCCUAAGGUUUCCUGAGGAAGGCUCGUCCGCUCAGGGUUAGUCAGGACCUAAGCCGAGGCCGACAGGCGUAGGCGAUGGACAACAGGUUGAUAUUCCUGUACCACCUCUUUAUCGUUUGAGCAAUGGAGGGACGCAGAAGGAUAGAAGAAGCGUGCGAUUGGUUGUGCACGUCCAAGCAGUUAGGCUGAUAAGUAGGCAAAUCCGCUUAUCGUGAAGGCUGAGCUGUGAUGGGGAAGCUCCUUAUGGAGCGAAGUCUUUGAUUCCCCGCUGCCAAGAAAAGCUUCUAGCGAGAUAAAAGGUGCCUGUACCGCAAACCGACACAGGUAGGCGAGGAGAGAAUCCUAAGGUGUGCGAGAGAACUCUGGUUAAGGAACUCGGCAAAAUGACCCCGUAACUUCGGGAGAAGGGGUGCUUUCUUAACGGAAAGCCGCAGUGAAUAGGCCCAAGCGACUGUUUAGCAAAAACACAGCUCUCUGCGAAGCCGUAAGGCGAAGUAUAGGGGGUGACACCUGCCCGGUGCUGGAAGGUUAAGGAGAGGGGUUAGCGUAAGCGAAGCUCUGAACUGAAGCCCCAGUAAACGGCGGCCGUAACUAUAACGGUCCUAAGGUAGCGAAAUUCCUUGUCGGGUAAGUUCCGACCCGCACGAAAGGUGUAACGAUUUGGGCACUGUCUCAACCAGAGACUCGGUGAAAUUAUAGUACCUGUGAAGAUGCAGGUUACCCGCGACAGGACGGAAAGACCCCGUGGAGCUUUACUGUAGCCUGAUAUUGAAUUUUGGUACAGUUUGUACAGGAUAGGCGGGAGCCUUUGAAACCGGAGCGCUAGCUUCGGUGGAGGCGCUGGUGGGAUACCGCCCUGACUGUAUUGAAAUUCUAACCUACGGGUCUUAUCGACCCGGGAGACAGUGUCAGGUGGGCAGUUUGACUGGGGCGGUCGCCUCCUAAAGUGUAACGGAGGCGCCCAAAGGUUCCCUCAGAAUGGUUGGAAAUCAUUCGUAGAGUGCAAAGGCAUAAGGGAGCUUGACUGCGAGACCUACAAGUCGAGCAGGGACGAAAGUCGGGCUUAGUGAUCCGGUGGUUCCGCAUGGAAGGGCCAUCGCUCAACGGAUAAAAGCUACCCCGGGGAUAACAGGCUUAUCUCCCCCAAGAGUCCACAUCGACGGGGAGGUUUGGCACCUCGAUGUCGGCUCAUCGCAUCCUGGGGCUGUAGUCGGUCCCAAGGGUUGGGCUGUUCGCCCAUUAAAGCGGUACGCGAGCUGGGUUCAGAACGUCGUGAGACAGUUCGGUCCCUAUCCGUCGUGGGCGUAGGAAAUUUGAGAGGAGCUGUCCUUAGUACGAGAGGACCGGGAUGGACGCACCGCUGGUGUACCAGUUGUUCUGCCAAGGGCAUAGCUGGGUAGCUAUGUGCGGAAGGGAUAAGUGCUGAAAGCAUCUAAGCAUGAAGCCCCCCUCAAGAUGAGAUUUCCCAUAGCGUAAGCUAGUAAGAUCCCUGAAAGAUGAUCAGGUUGAUAGGUUCGAGGUGGAAGCAUGGUGACAUGUGGAGCUGACGAAUACUAAUAGAUCGAGGACUUAACCAUAUAA